UACGUAGGGGGCAAGCGUUGUCCGGAUUUAUUGGGCGUAAAGAGCGUGUAGGCGGCUAGGUAGGUCCGUUGUGAAAACUCGAGGCUCAACCUCGAGACGCCGAUGGAAACCAUCUGGCUAGAGUCCGGAAGAGGAGAGUGGAAUUCCUGGUGUAGCGGUGAAAUGCGCAGAUAUCAGGAGGAACACCAAUGGCGAAGGCAGCUCGCUGGGACGGUACUGACGCUGAGGCGCGAAAGCGUGGGGAGCAAACAGG
rnacentral:rRNA from 1 species